rnacentral:rRNA from 1 species
GGACCUGCGCGCUAAACAUGCAGUCGAGCGGAUGAACGGAAGCUUGCUCCUGGAUUCAGCGGCGGACGGGUGAGUAAUGCCUAGGAAUCUGCCUGGUAUUGGGGGAUAACGUCCGGAAACGGGCGCUAAUACCGCACACGUCCUGAGGGAGAAAGUGGGGGAUCUUCGGACCUCACGCUCUCUGAUGACCCUAAGUCAGAUUACCUCGUUGGUGGGGUAAAUGCCUACCGUAGCGACUAUCCGUAGCUGGUCUGAGAGGAUGAUCUGUCACGCUGAAACUGAGACCCGGUCCUGACACCUACGGCAGGCACCAAUGGGGAGUAUUGGACAGUGGGCUACAGCCUGGUCCAACCGUGCCACGUGUGUGCACAACGUCUUCGGAGUGUGUCGCCGUUUAAGUUGGCACUAAUGUCAGGGAAUAACUACCGUGCUGUUUUCACUUUACCUCCAGACUGAACCCCGGCUAACUUCCUGCCAUCACCCGCGGCCAUACGACGGGUGCAAACGUUAGUCGCAAUUACUGGGCGGAAAGCGCGCGCACGUGGUUCACCAAGUUGGAUGUGAAAUCCCCGGGCGCAAGCUGGCAACUGCAUCCAAAACUGCUGUUCUAUAGUGCGGUAGAUGGUCGUGGAAUUU